rnacentral:rRNA from 1 species
UUUGAUCCUGGCUCAGGAUGAACGCUAGCGGCGUGCCUAAUGCAUGCAAGUCGAACGGGAUUCCCUGACUUCGGUUGGGGAUGAGAGUGGCGAACGGGUGAGUAACACGUAGGUUACCUGCCCUCGGGAGGGGGACAACCAGUGGAAACGCUGGCUAAUACCCCGGAUGUCAAUCUAGUUAGAGAGGAUUGACUAAAGCUCCGGCGCCCGAGGAGGGGCCUGCGACCCAUCAGCUAGUUGGUAGGGUAAAAGCCUACCAAGGCCGAGACGGGUAGGGGGCGUGAGAGCGUGGCCCCCCACACUGGUACUGACACACGGACCAGAUACCUACGGGUAGCAGCAGCAAGGAAUAUUGCGCAAUGGGCGAAAGCCUGACGCAGCAACGCCGCGUGGAGGAUGAAGGCCUUCGGGUUGUAAACUCCUUUUCUGGGGGAAGAGAACGGACGGUACCCCAGGAAUAAGGCCCGGCUAACUACGUGCCAGCAGCCGCGGUAAAACGUAGGGUCAAGCGUUAUCCGGAAUUACUGGGCGUAAAGGGCGCGUAGCGUUGCCAAAGUUGGACGUGAAAGCUCCUGGCUCAACUGGGAGAGGCCGUUCAAAACUAGGCGACUAGAGGAUGGUAAAAGGCGAGUGGAAUUCCCGGUGUAUUGGUGAAAUGCGUAAUUUCGGGAGGAACACCAGUGGCGAAGGCGGCUCGCUGGGCCAUAACUGACGCUUGAGCGCGAAAGCCAGGGGAGAGAAACGGGAUUAGAAACCCCGGUAUUUCCUGGCCGUUAAACGAUGUCAACUAAGUGUAGAGAGCCGAACAGGCUAGCUGUGCUGAAGCAAACGCGAUAAGUUGACCGCCUGGGGAGUACGGCCGCAAGGCUAAACUCAAAGGAAUUGACGGGGGCCCGCACAAGCAGCGGAGCGUGUGGUUUAAUUCGAGGCUACGCGAAGAACCUUACCAGGGUUUGACAUGUACGUGGUAGGUAUUGGAAACAAUGCUGACCCUUCGGGGAGCGUACACAGGUGCUGCAUGGCUGUCGUCAGCUCGUGCCGUGAGGUGUUAGGUUAAGUCCUGUAACGAGCGCAACCCUCGUCGUUAGUUACAAGUGUCUAACGAGACUGCCGGUGAUAAGCAGGAGGAAGGUGGGGAUGACGUCAAGUCAGCAUGGCCUAUAUAUCCUGGGCUACACACACGCUACAAUGGCCGGUACAAUGGGCAGCGAAGUCGCGAGACGGAGCCAAUCCUGAAAAGCCGGUCUCAGUUCGGAUUGCAGGCUGCAACUCGCCUGCAUGAAGUCGGAGUUGCUAGUAAACGCGCGUCAGCCACAGUGCGUUGAAUACGUUCCCGGGCCUUGUACACACCGCCCGUCACGUCAUGGAAGUUGGCAACGCCUGAAGUCGGUGGGCUAACCCUAACGGGAGGCAGCCGCCUAAGGCGGGGUCGGUAACUGGGACGAAGUCGUACAAGGUAGCUGUAGCGGAAGCUGCGGCUGGAUCACCUCCU